rnacentral:rRNA from 1 species
CACGUAGGGUGCGAGCGUUGUUCGGAAUUACUGGGCGUAAAGCGCACGUAGGCGGCGAUUCAAGUCAGAGGUGAAAGCCCGGGGCUCAGCCCCGGAACUGCCUUUGAAACUAGAUUGCUAGAAUCCUGGAGAGGUGAGUGGAAUUCCGAGUGUAGAGGUGAAAUUCGUAGAUAUUCGGAAGAACACCGGUGGCGAAGGCGGCCUGCUGGGCAGUUGCUGACACUGAGGCGCGACAGCGUGGGGAGCAACAGG